CUUAGUGGUCGUUUGGUUUAAGGUAUAACAUGGGUUAUACCGGUACUAAUUUUUAUACCACGUUUGGUAUAAGGUAUAGAUUUAUCCCGGGAUUAUUUUAUACCUUGUACCAAACGUGGUAUAAAAAUUAGUGCUGGAAUAACUCAACUUAUACCUUCUUAACCCACUUAUACUGGUAUUAUUUUAUACCAUCUUUCAGAUGGUAUAAAAUAAUACCAACAGAUGGUAUAAAUUAAUCCCGGGAUUGUAAUCCCGGGACUAUUUUAACCUCAAACCAAACGACCACUUAGGGUUCUAUUUGCAAACAUAAGAGAGGAGAGGCGGCUAGGGUGAAACACUAGCGCCGCCUCAUGUUUUCCACCACCUACCCCACCUUUUCUCGGUCCCGUCCCAUCGCUAUUCACUAGUGGCGUGAAGAGAGAAGGCGAAGCCAUUACUGCUUUGUCCUUCUCUCCACGAAAUCAGGCCAAACUUCCCCUAAAGCCCUCAAAUCCUUUCUUGGUUCAAGGCUGCACACAAAAAAGGUAAACCUUGAUAUACUUAUUGAUUUUUAGUCUUUAAUUUCUGCUUUAGUUAAAUUUUUAGAUUAUUUCCGCUAUUUUUGGUAGUAGUUACGUAUUUUCUUUGUUGUUCUUGUUUAUAUAUUUGAUGUUUGAGAGCUGUUAGGAUAGGAUAUUAAUCGCUAAAUGAUUAGGAUUGAUAAUGCUUUACUAGUAGAGAUGUUGAAUUUCUCUUUAAUGCUUUGAAAAAAAAUUGGACAUAUGGUUCAAUGGACUAUUUAAUUGCCUUUAGUUGAUUUAGAAAUAAGGUUGUAUUGAUGUCAUUUAGUCUUUAACCUGUUUGCCUAUUUGAUUUGCAUUUGCAAUGUGAAGCUUAUGUGGAAUCAUGGGGGUGGGGUGCAAAUCUGUCUCACUAAUGCAUCAAUAUGGUUAAAAUGCUGGAUUUGGUUUGUUAUAUCUCAUUUUAUAGUGAAGAAACUAAGUGUGAAUAUAGUUGUUACUCCUAGUCCUCUCUUCUUUGCUUAGUUAUAAAAUUUGGGUCCGUCUAUAAGAAUCAAACCUGGUAUAAAUUGUAAGCCUAGCCCUGAAAUGAUAAGAUAAGGUCUAUGUUCUUACUCAGUUAUAGCUCUCUAGUUCUGAAUAUCAUGUAUGCCUUUGUUUCUAUUGUGCUUGGAUUGGUACCUAAUUCUGUUUCUGUGGCUCAUUGAUCAAUUGAUCAUGUUUGACCUUUCUCAGAGCUUGGUUAGUGCCAAUGUGACCAUAUCAUGCCUUUAUCUGGUCCUUGUGCUUGAAAAUAAUUGCUAUAACAAACCAAAAUGCACCAUGCCUAGAUAAUGCACUUUUUCCUGAACUUGCCAAACUUUCAAAUACCUAAAUACUGAUGUCUUGUCCCUUAAAUUGCUAUGGUUUUCCUGCUUUGUUUCCAGAAAGUAUGAUGGAUGUCUUUCCCCCUGUAGUCUCUAGGUUGUGUGUGCUGCAUCUUUCCUGUCUUGAACUAUUGGUGCCCUUGUUGCUCAUGUAAAGAUAUGAAACAUAUAAGCCUUCACAUGCUUGGUAGUAUCUGGAAACCUUAUAUCAUGCGCAGGUUCAAGUUGUUGUAUGUUUGCCCUUCUAUGAUGGUUUCCUUAAUUUGGUGCAUAGUCUUGCAUAGGCCAUGGAACUGGUUCUGUCCCUCCAAGGUCUAGGUAGCAUGACACUUAGUCUCUUAACCUUGCUGAUCAUUACUGUCAAAUGUCUUUAUUAUGCUUGCUUGAUCUUGUCCCUUUGGUGAUUGAUUGUUGACUGAACCUGUAUAUGCUUGCCAUUUAUGAAUACCCUUAAAAAACAAAAUCUAUACCCAUCUAUGCUUUUCACUUGGGAUUAACUUACUGCAGAAUCAUUAUGUGACUUGAGUUGUUCUUUUCCCUCAUUGUGUUUUCCUAAGUCUUACUUGCCUUACCACUCACUUACUUGACUAAGUAGCAUUGAUCCCACUUGCCUAUUCUGCUGAGUUUUAACUGGACCAUUUGCAUUCAUACUUGCUUGGUUUUGCUAUGACCAUUAUAUCUGAAUGUUUUUCUCUGCCUUUUGUUUUGAAUGCUUACUUUCACUUAAUUUGCCUUUGUGCCUUGUAUGAUCAAUUGGUCCAGUGUCCUGAUUAUUGGGUUACUUGUCUUGGAACUUUGGGACCUUAUACUCAUGCUGUCAAGGCCCUGCACCAUGUGUUCCAAAAUGCUUUCCUGUUUUCUCUGUUCAUUUGCUCUUCUUGCGCACAUGUAUAUCCCUUCCCCAUUUCCCUUAUCUGCAAAUUAACCUUGUGUAUGAGUAUGCCCAGUGACCUUAGGCACACAUUAAUGAUACUAUAAUUGACUCACCUUGUGACUUAUGUGCCUUGGAUGACUGAUAUGGUUUGCUUUUUUCAAAUUCCUGCCUGCUACCUGCACUUGACCAUGCAUCCUAUACUUGGAGUUGACUUUUGCAUUGCCUUUCAUGCCUCUCUUGAACUUAUAACCUUGGCUGAAAUGCCAUUAUUGACAUUAAAUCCUUGAUAAGUCUGUUGUUGUGCCUUCCCAUUUGACCAUCCCUGAGAUGCCACGAUAUAGCUAUCAUCCUAUAGCACUCAUUUGCUUUUCUUCAACUUGUUUGAGUCUAUGAUCAUGGUUGAUGUUCAUGCUCCUCUGAAUAAUUUUAAGCAUGCCUCUUUCAUUUUAGUGUGCAUACUUGACAUAUCUGCCUAAGUCUAGUUGUAUUUGGCUUAACUGAUUGGGGUUAACUACCACUUGCUGAAUAUGAGAAUGCUUCUCUUUGAAUUAAGCCUGUCAUUGAGUUUUAAGGUGCACCUUUACCCAUCAUAUUUGUUCUCUGAUCACAUGUAUCUACUGCCUACACUUUCUUUUUACUAUUCAAUGUUACCUGCUCUUGCUGUAACUCUAAGUCCACCCAUGAGAUGGUCAUUUUCUGGUUUGCCUUUGCUUGUCCUUAGUAACUGCCUAUUUCUUCCCUUUUGCCUUGCUUACAGCUGCUGUUACUGCUUGUCUUUGCCCCUUCAAAGAAGUUGUGUGUUUGAUUUAUUAUUACUGUUUUGUGUCAUUAAGGUCUUCUAUAAUAUGAACUUCAUGUGUAUGUACUUGUAUAUUGUCUCUUGUGAUUGCUUACUCUUCCCUGUAACUAUGCGAAAAUUGUACCAACCCUCAGCAUGAUUACUUGUAUAUUUAAGUGAUCUCCUGGUUCUGUACUCUCUCUGUCCUUUCAAAUGAUAUUCAAAUAGAUCUAGGACCAAGUGUGGUAAUUCGGGGUUGUCUUAAUCUCCCCACUGUUAGCCAUGGCUGGGGUCCUUUGAAGCCCCUUGGAACUUGUGCGACAUCGAGAAUACGGGAUUAAGACCUAGUCCCCAUGCCAUUCGAAGUCUUAGGAUAAUUAGAGCACCAUUUGUAUAGGCAAAGGGGUAAGUAUGGAUCAAGUGUGAUUAACUUAUAUAUAUAUAUAUAUAUAUAUAUGUGUGUGUGUGUGUGUGUGUGUGUGUGUGUGUGUGUGUGAUUUAUCUUAUAUACAUGUGUGUGUGUUUAUAACUUUUGUCAUUUACCUUAGUGAUAAGUUCAGCGAUUAUAAACUAACUGGUGUUUUUUUUUUUCUUCCUUCCUCCUCCUCCUCGUACGUGGCCACUCGGGUCAAAAAUGCAUAAACCCCCCAUUGGGCUAAAGGCCCAAAUGGGAAUAUCGCUUCAAAAAAUAGAGUCCGAGAAAACAAAGAAGAAUAGUGAGGCGUGCAGAAGGCCCAGCCAUGGGUGAAAAUGGCCAACUAAGGGCUUGGUACGCUCCUAGUCUAACUUAGCUCCUUUAAAUUUACUGUAUUUAUUAUUGCAUUUGUAUUUGAAACUUGUAUUCAAAACUCAUAAUAUAGUGGAAACCUUAUGAUUGGAACUAGACAUCUUAGGACAACGGUUCUUAUGCCGUUUAGUCGACUUUAGGUCCCCGUACGCGAUUUUCAAAACCACAAACUCAAACAUAAUGCUUUUUUUAUAACUAAGUACAAAAAUGAGACCUCUCAAAACUGCUUUCAAAUAAAUCACUAUUGAUUUUAUCUAAGUUUAAACGGUAAUCACAUUUUUAUAUAAUAAAGGUAUUUCACAAAAAAUAAGUUGACUAACUUAUUUCCUGCUCCAAAUUGAAUUUCCCAAAAUCAGCUUUAAAUAGACAGACUUAACGCAAUUGGCUUUAACCUAUAUAACUUCAUUGAUAAGUGGCAAAUCUUUGUCAACAUAUUGGACCAGUUUUAAACUUAAACAGAAACCAAAUUUUUUUAACCAAGUUAUAAAACCUGUUUCUGGAAAAUGGAGGCAAAUGAAGGAUUCUUAAACACAAAACACUGUUUUGGCCCAAAGCAGGCCCAAAUUAACUGAUAUUUACGGACAAGGUAUACUCAUUCUAAAUAUAAAAACACUCUUAUAAACGUAUAAAGAACCUACGCGUAUUAUAAAGUUCCGGAUAAGACUGAAACGCACCAAUACGAGUCAACCCGAGCCCCGAUGUAUGAGUAUAAAAUAAACAACUUAUAAAAUAACAUUUCUUUUUCACUUCUUUUAAAAACUUAUACUUAUUCCUUUCAUAUAAAAGGAAACUACUUAUACUCGGAUAUAAUAAAUCCCAAACUACGAUACCCUAUAAAUAAAGGGGAUAUAUACAAAUUCCUCCAAAAAAUAUGAUAUGCAAAAAACUAUCUAUGACAGUUCUUUUUUAUGAGAACAUAAACACAAAAUAAGCAGUUUAAGCAAAUACUCAUACACUGAAAUUCGAAGGUCAACCGUAUAGUACGGAUCCUUAAUACUGGGGUGCCUAACACCUUUCCCUGGGGAUCAUCCGAACUCUUACCUAGAAUUUUGGA